AAGCACAUUCCACUGUCUUUUUUUCUAUCCUGGAGGGAAAAAAGCAAUUUCUGUUGUGCUAUAUAUGAACUUGAAGGUAAAUUAGCAGCAUGUCUAAUACAGCCAUUGCUGUCAGUCCCCUUCAUACAGUU